GCUGGGUGUGGUGGCUCAUGCCUGUAAUCCCAGCUACCUGGGAGGCAGAGGUGGGUGGAUUGCUUGAGCCCAGGAGUUAGAGACCAGCCUGGGCAACAUAGUGAGAUCCCAUCUCAG
ensembl:misc_RNA Metazoa_SRP Metazoan signal recognition particle RNA